UCCUCUUUAGUUUAAGCUAAAAUGAACUUAUUCAGGAAUCUUGUAAAUGAUGGAGGGCCAUUGGAAGGCUGAAAGAGCAACAUCUUGGCUGAGCCUGCUGCCAUCAGGGUGCUUUUGUUACUUCCUCAUUCCCCAAUAAUGCUGCUUUUGCCUUGAACAAGGAGGGCCAGUGCCUCCGAAACUAGGAAUUCAGCACCAGCACCAGGCAAAUAGACACAUCAUCUUCCACCCUUCCUGUCAUCGACUUCUAGUAUAUGUGGUCUGAACCACAAAUCUGUUCUCCAAAUAGCAAAGAAGUUUAGGAAAUUGUUUUCUUAAAAAAGUUCUAUUUUGAGAAGGUGGGAUUCACAAUGUGAAUUAUCAAAAGAUUUUGGCAGCCACGAGUGACAGGUAUUCAAUAUACUGUUUUAGGUAUGUUUGAAACAUAUUACUCCUAUCUCACCAAAUUGUCAGGGCAUGAAGGCAAUCCUUGUCAUCAAAAUGAUGGCCACUCUCGUCAAGAUUUCCAGGGCCUAUUUUCAUCAUGUUGCUGCCCUGGUUACCAAAAGACACAAAUCGAAAAUAUCACCCAUCUUUUACGCAUUUUAUGAUUUACAAAGCCCUUUUCACAUUUUUGUAUUUUUUUCUCACACGACUUUGGAAGGUGGCCAUUAUUACUUCCAUUUACAUGAAGAAAAUUAAUGACCCAAGAAAAUAUAUUUUGCCUAAGGUCAUUCAGCUGAUAAUUCCAUAUUGAAGGGUGGAAUAUAGGUUUUUAUUCAAAUUGGUUAUUUCUAACUGGAAACCCAUAAAUUGUUAAGAAAAGAGACUUUUGAGUCUGACAAAUAUGGGUUCAAAAACCAGAUUUACCAUUGUUGGUUUGCUGCUUAACCUCCUUGAGUGUUCUCAACUGUAAUGUGAGAAUCCUGGUAAUAUUCACCUUGUAAGGUUAUUGUGAUGGUUAAAUAAGAUAAUGCAAAAGUAACAUCUAAUAGUGUAACAGUAGGCAGCCAAUGAGUCCCAUGUAAUAUCAUUCCUGUUAUUAGGAAAAUUAUUAUUUGGAUUAUAGCACACCACUUAAGGAGAACUGGGAACUCAAACAAGCCUAGAUAUAAGAAGGCUUAUUUAUAGAGUACCCAGCAGACAGGACUUUGGUUCUAUUUACUUAACUCUUAGUAGCGAGGUCAACUGUUACUUAAAGUUGUAGGCAAUUUUCUUUCUCUAGAGGAGAAACUUGAUUUACUCUUGGCCUGUCUCACCUUGUUCUGCGAAGGAUCACCAAGUGAUCCCUUUAAUGUAUUUAGAUAUUGUUCAAAAUCCUAUCUACUUUUGUGUCUUUCCUUGCAUUUAUGAAGAAAUCACCCUAAGGGAGAGAGGAGAGUGAAUGAGUGACUCUAAGAAAGUGCAAGGAACCCAGACUAUUGGUAACUGAACAGUUUCUGGUGGUGAUAACUGGCUAAUGCUAGAAGGCUUGAUCCAGGACAUCGUCUGCUAUAGAGAAAAAUAUGGGUGAGAUCAGAGAGCUAAGAAUUCGAUAGUUGGAACCCCAGGUUGAGUUUGGGUAGGGGCAUCAUCCAUGAUUGAACCUGGUGGUAGUGUCCAAGGAGCCACAAUAGCAUAUGGUAUUGGGGAUGUCAGAUUUGGAAAUCUUAUUGGUUUGCAUGAUGAUAUACUAUGUUCCAGCAACAGUAGCAAAAAAUGAUAGAAAUAGAUCUUGCUUCUGAUAUCCAACUGUUGUUUUUCAGUGACACCAUCCUAAUUUAGUAACAGUGGCAACACUGGCAGUGAACAAGGCACUUGUUUGAUCAUCUACCCUCACCCUUAAACCAUGAAUCCAGGCUGAACCUGAGGAUUGAGAAUUUUUUCUGGUUGCAUGGAGAUAAAGUGCUGUGGGUAAAACAGGAGUGAGCAACUCCCUUACAAACUCUGGGAAGCAGAAGGGUCUCACAUAGCAAAAGGACGACUACUGACUUUUUCCCAGUCAUCAUGGACCAAGCUCCCUGCUAAUAUUUGCCUGGGAAAGCAGUUGAAGAUGGCCCAAGUAGAAAAUCAGAAUCUGCCACCCACAUGGGAGACCUGGAAGAAACUCAUGACUUCCGGCUGGUCCAGCUCUGGUCAUUGAGGUCAUCUGGGGAGUGAACCAGCAGGUGGAAGAAUCUCUCUCUCUCUCUCUCUCUCUCUCUCUCUCUCUCUCUCUCUCUGUAUAACACUGCCUUUCAAAUACAAUAAAUCUCUAAAAUGAAAUAAAACAGAAAAUAUUCUUUGUAUCUCUUUUCUUAGAUGUUAAAAUGUAUCUUCUUUAUAACAGAGACAAAGGAAUAUGAUAUCACCAUGGUAUUCUAACUAUUGCUUCCAAACCAAGGUUGCAAGAAGGACUAGUUCAGAGCUUUUACCUCUAUUUCUCCCCCUCUUACUUCCCACUUCCAAGUCUUGUUAAAAUCCUUAACUCCUCCACCAGACACCGUAAGAAAUUGAGCUCUAAGCAUCUGUUUUCUGUCAUCCCUGCUGACAGUAUAUUUUCAGAACUCUGGAAUUUCUGUUGUUGCUUAAUCUUAUAUCCGGGAGCAGAAUCUAUGAGGCUAGAGCAGGAAGCAAAGCCUGUAAACUCUCUGGGAUCCUGUCCUAAAUUUUUCCUUUCAGAAGGGUGGGGGGCAGCUGUCAAAUUUUAAUCUGUCAGACUAUGUGCCAGGCUCCCUGGGACUUCCAGGCAAUAAUAGAACAAUGAUUUCUCAGGCCUCUGAAAGUGGUUGCAAGUGAGGUGCUGGGUAGAAGCUAUAGAAAAGGUGCCUGUGUUUGAAUGAGUCCCAGUUUUGGAACAGGAUGUAGAAAAUCAGAACCAGAGAAUAAUGGAAAUGCAGGAAGCAUGGUGCAAGUGUAAAAUUAAUUGCAGGACUCUUAGGUGCUCAGUUGUGUAACUCAGCUCUCUAAAACCCAUAAAUUACUGCUCAAAGAAUAUGGAAGAGGAGAAAGUAAAUUAUUAUCAGGCAUGCAUUUAGCUCUUCAGACAUGUAAUCAAUUUAACUUGGAUUCUCUGCACGAUAUAUGACACUGUCUUUGAUCCUGCAAGAAGGUGUAUCUUCUCUGGGAGUGGAAGUGAGGUGUAGGGCAAAAAGCACAGUCCUUGGCUCUGGAGAUCCAGGUUUUAUCAUACUUAUGGCAUUUCUUGAGCAAAGUCUUAAUCUCUCAUGGCCUUGAUAUUCUACAGCAUGGAAAUGUAAAUGAUCAUAUUAUACAUAUAUCCCAAGAUAGCUGUGAGGAGCAGAUGAAAUCUCAUAUGAAAGAGCCACAGGACAGCAAAAUAUUUGGCCUGGGAGCUAUUGUCUCAUUGUGAGAAGUACCAUGGAGCCUGGAACAUGGUUCCACAAACUGCAACUUGCCAUUUUUCUCUCACUCCUCUGAAAGGCACAUUUUUGGACCAUUUUCAAGUUUAUAUAUAUUGUUUUCUGUUCUAGUGUCACAGUUUCUGUUCCCACAUAUAGGAUGAAACAACAGUAGAAAUAGCAAAGUACUGCUUUCAGGUUGGUGCUGUGACAUGGUGUACCCAUGGGUAGAACCCAAAUAGUCCCUUGAGGCCAGCUGGACUCUUUUCCCUGUCCCAGUGGAAAAGAUUUUACUCCCCCAUGAUAUCAACUGCCUCUUGAAAGGAUAUAGUACUACUGGUUAUUUGUUCUUUCAGUUCUUAGGGCAAACAAAGAACAAAAUUGUGGCAGGUAUUAAGUUAACAUUGAAAAAUUGUGAAGUUGCUUAAUAUCUGGGUCACUCUCCCUCUCUGAGCCACUUCCUUCAUCUGAGAAAUGGGCUUAUUGUGAGCACCAAAUGAAAGAUAUCUGGGAUAUAGUUAUGUCUAGUAAGUCCUUUUUCCAGUAAUCGUUCAUUUGUUUGAAUAGUUUGACUUUUUUUUCUCAACAUCUAAUUUUUGUUACCUUUGAUAAAGGAUAUGCUUUAUUUUCAUCAGUUAAUGAGUAUUAUGCAACUAGUUCGGUCAGCAGAGUAGUUCAAAGUUAGAUUAUAAGUGUGUUGCCAUAAAUAUACCGUCUACAUUUUCUGCUACAGUGAUCUCUCCAAAUUAUCUCUUCAUUCCACAUCUCUUCUUGUUAUUUUUUUAUAUUCUUGUUUUCUUGGUUCUCUGGUAUGUGUCAGAUAGGUUGGACUAGCUUUUUUUCCCUUAGAAGUUAAUGCAGACCUUUCAGGGAUAUGCAAGUAUUACAAGGAAAGAGAAAGGGAAGGGGAGUGGGAAGGAGAGAUUGACUGGGUAUCCUUUUGGCUGAUUGUGAUCCUGGAGGAGUUCUCCAUUAGCGUUUAUUCAGUGAAUAUUUAAACUUUAUAUCAGUUGCUGGGCCCCUUGAAAGCCUCCCCCAACUCUAAGAUGAGUGAGGAUUCCCUCGACAGUUAUUUGGAAGGUGGGCUUUCUGGUUUCAUCCACAGGGCUUUGCCUUUCUUCCUGUUCAACUCCCUCCCCAGCAGGCAGGCUUCUUCCAUUCCAUUGUUUUCUGCCAUCCUCUUCUUGUGCCCAUCCAACCACUCUGAGCCAACACUUUGCAGUCCUCUGCACCCAGCUUCUUGCUGAUGGAAGGGCUGAAAGACUGACGCCAAUUAGGACUUGAACCAAGUCCUAAAUAUGGAUUAAUAUUUGUGAUCAGGUGCUCCCUGCAUGAAGGUAGGUGAUCCCUCUGCAGCCAGUGAUUGCCCUGAAAGGAUGCACACAUGUAUGCAUAUUAAGGUGCAAUGACUGCCUAGCAUUCUUUAGAUGGACAGGAGCAACUCUUGGGCUUUAUUGAAAGUCCUUGAACUCUGAGUGGGCCUUCUUAAACUCAAGAUAAGGGUUGGGGGGCUGGCACUGUGGUGCAGUGGGUUAAAGCCCUGGCCUGAAGCGCUGGUACCCCAUAUAGGCACUGGUUCUAGUCCUGGCUGCUCCUCUUCUGAUCCAGUUCUCUGCUACAGCCUGGGACAGCAGUAGAAGAUGGCCCAAGUCCCACCCGCGUGGGAGACCUGGAAGAGGCUCCUGGCUCCUGGCUUUGGAUGCGGCCAUCUGGGGAAUGAACCAGUGGAUGGAAGACCUCUCUCUCUGUCUCUACUCUCUCUGUAACUCUGUCUUUCAAAUAAAUAAAAAUAAAUUAAAAAAAAAGACAUAGGUGAGUGUGAAAAGCUCAUGCUUUUUUCCUCAUAUGGAUGUAUAACUCAUUCUAAAGUUUAUGGAUUUGGUUAUUAUUUCUAUUUUUUUCUCAUUGCAAACACUGAGUGAUUGGACCUUGGCAGUACGAGGGAACUGGAGUGGCAGAUUUUUCUGGCUGCCAGUGUCAGGCCUGUUAAUGAUGGAAAAUAGAUUUGGGAGAAAGAUAUCAAUACACAAAUGCUGAGUCUAAUAUAGAAACUGGAGCCAUCUGCCAGAGAGCUCUGGGUUGUGUCCUCUUGGCACAGAGCAGCCAAGCCCUGAGGGGCCUCCUAAAGGAAGAAUCAGAAAUAGAAGCAGACAUACCUCCUGUCCACAGGCAGGGUGCUUUGGGGAAUGCUGCAAGCAUCAGGGCGACCUAUUUUUCCCCAUUCUGUUUUAGGUCUUCUGAUAAGAAUCCCAAAGUUCUUCUCCUCAAUUCACUGACCUUUUGAUUGUAAAUGAGAGGAGGUAGGAAAGGAGUAUGUUGCCUGCAUGGUGUGCGCAUGUGCAAGAGAGAGAACGUUGUUCUGUUCUUCUCUGACUGCUGUGCCUUACACUCUUUACUUUUCUUUUAGAACACUGUGUGCUUGAUAUGGUGGGCUCGCCUGUAUCUUUUAGAUUUAUCUAUUAUUUGAAAGGCAGAAAUAUGGAGAGAGAAGGAGAGAGGAGAGAGGAGAAGAGAGAAGAGAAGAGAAGAGGAGAGCUCUUCCAUCCACUUGUUCAGUCUCCAAAUGGCUACAACAGCUGGGCGGUGGGGCUGGAAUCAGGAGCUUCUUCCAGUCCUCUACAUGGGUGCAGGCGUCCAAGGACUUGUACCAUCUUCCACUGCUUUCCCAGGUGCAUUAGCAAGGAGCUAGAUUGGAAGUGGAGUAGCCAGGACUCAAACCGGCACCCUUAUGGGAUGCCAGCACUGCAGGCAGAGGCUUAACCUACAUCACAGCCAAUGGUGUCAAUAUCCCAUGUUGUGGAAUGUCCUUCCUGCAGAGGGAGGCUGAUGAAGAAGCUUUCUGGCCAGUUACUGGCUUAACUUUGAAGUGUGUGUGUGUA